rnacentral:misc_RNA from 1 species
AAGUCGUAACAAGGUUUCCGUAGGUGAACCUUCGGAAGGAUCAUUAUCGAAAUGCAGCGGGGGCAGACGGCCGCAAGGUCGCCGGCCACCGCAUACAUGCAUUCAACCACCCUUGACUUUGAGCACCGUUUUGUUUCCUCGGCAGGGACGCCUGCCAGCGGGGACCCCAUCGAACACUUGCAGUAGCAGUAUUUGUCUGAGAAAAACACAAAAAAUCAAAACUUUCAACAAUGGAUCUCUUGGUUCUG